ensembl:snRNA U6 U6 spliceosomal RNA
AUGCCUGGUUCAGAGGCACAUAUACUAAAAUUGAAACAGAAAAGAGAUUAGCAUGGCCCCCGUGCAAGGAUGACAUGCAAAUUCCUGAAACACUCCAAAAUGUU